rnacentral:tRNA from 1 species
CUUUUCACUUAGUGGUAGAAUAACGCCUUGUUAAGACAGGAGUCAUCGGUUCGAGUCCGAUAAAG